UCUCCGUAGGUGAACCUGCGGAGGGAUCAUUACAGAGUUCAUGCCCUACCGGUAGAUCUCCCACCCUAUGUUAUUAUUACUUUGUUGCUUUGGCGGGCCGUUAGGCUCCGGCCCGACUACCGGCCCCGGCUGGUAAGCGCCCGCCAGAGGACCCAAAACCCUGAAUAUUAGUGUCGUCUGAGUACUAUAUAAUAGUUAAAACUUUCAACAACGGAUCUCUUGGUUCUG
rnacentral:misc_RNA from 1 species